AUUGAACGCUGGCGGCAUGCUUUACACAUGCAAGUCGAACGGUAACAGGCCUUCGGGUGCUGACGAGUGGCGCACGGGUGAGUAAUGCAUCGGAACGUGCCCAGAGGUGGGGGAUAACGCAGCGAAAGCUGUGCUAAUACCGCAUGUGAUCUGAGGAUGAAAGCGGGGGACCAAGCAGCAAUGUUUGGCCUCGCGCCUCUGGAGCGGCCGAUGUCAGAUUAGGUAGUUGGUGGGGUAAAGGCCUACCAAGCCGACGAUCUGUAGCUGGUCUGAGAGGACGACCAGCCACACUGGGACUGAGACACGGCCCAGACUCCUACGGGAGGCAGCAGUGGGGAAUUUUGGACAGUGGGCGCAAGCCUGAUCCAGCAAUGCCGCGUGCGGGAAGAAGGCCUUCGGGUUGUAAACCGCUUUUGUACGGAACGAAAAGGCUCUGGCUAAUACCUGGGGCUGAUGACGGUACCGUAAGAAUAAGCACCGGCUAACUACGUG
rnacentral:rRNA from 1 species